AGGCAGCAGUGGGGAAUAUUGCACAAUGGGCGAAAGCCUGAUGCAGCAACGCCGCGUGAGUGAAGAAGUAUCUCGGUAUGUAAAGCUCUAUCAGCAGGGAAGAAAAUGACGGUACCUGACUAAGAAGCCCCGGCUAACUACGUGCCAGCAGCCGCGGUAAUACGUAGGGGGCAAGCGUUAUCCGGAUUUACUGGGUGUAAAGGGAGCGCAGACGGCACUGCAAGUCUGAAGUGAAAGCCCGGGGCUCAACCCCGGGACUGCUUUGGAAACUGUAGAGCUAGAGUGCUGGAGAGGCAAGCGGAAUUCCUAGUGUAGCGGUGAAAUGCGUAGAUAUUAGGAAGAACACCAGUGGCGAAGGCGGCUUGCUGGACAGUAACUGACGUUCAGGCUCGAAAGCGUGGGGAGCAAACAGGAUUAGAUACCCUGGUAGUCCACGCCG
rnacentral:rRNA from 1 species